rnacentral:rRNA from 1 species
GGACGAACGCUGGCGGCGUGCCUAAUACAUGCAAGUUGAGCGCUGAAGGUUGGUACUUGUACCAACUGGAUGAGCAGCGAACGGGUGAGUAACGCGUGGGGAAUCUGCCUUUGAGCGGGGGACAACAUUUGGAAACGAAUGCUAAUACCGCAUAAAAACUUUAAACACAAGUUUUAAGUUUGAAAGAUGCAAUUGCAUCACUCAAAGAUGAUCCCGCGUUGUAUUAGCUAGUUGGUGAGGUAAAGGCUCACCAAGGCGAUGAUACAUAGCCGACCUGAGAGGGUGAUCGGCCACAUUGGGACUGAGACACGGCCCAAACCCCUACGGGAGGCAGCAGUAGGGAAUCUUCGGCAAUGGACGAAAGUCUGACCGAGCAACGCCGCGUGAGUGAAGAAGGUUUUCGGAUCGUAAAACUCUGUUGGUAGAGAAGAACGUUGGUGAGAGUGGAAAGCUCAUCAAGUGACGGUAACUACCCAGAAAGGGACGGCUAACUACGUG